rnacentral:misc_RNA from 1 species
UUUAUACGUUACUUCGUAUUCUCAUCCAACAUGUGACUGUUUUCCGAGUAAAGUGUUUUAAAUCAAGAUGUGAUUCAUCGCACUUCGUGAGAAGUGGAUAAAAAAGUUUGGGGCUCUGUCUUAUGAUUUCAAUAAUGGUUGUGACAUACUAUUGAAAAGAUUCGAAAUUGCCAAAAAGUUUAGAUUCACGGAGCAAACCAAGCGACUCCCGAAAGAGAAGCAAGGUAGGUAGAGGUGUGGUAAUGAUCCUUCCGCAGGUUCACCUACGGAAA